rnacentral:rRNA from 1 species
UACGUAGGGGGCAAGCGUUUGUCCGGAUUUAUUGGGCGUAAAGCGCGCGCAGGCGGUGCGGUAAGUCUCUGGUGAAAGCGCUCGGCUUAACUGGGCGAGGGCCGGGGAGACUGCCACGCUGGAGGGGAGCAGAGGCGAGUGGAAUUCCGGGUGUAGUGGUGAAAUGCGUAGAGAUCCGGAGGAACACCAGUGGCGAAGGCGGCUCGCUGGGCUCUACCUGACGCUGGAGGCGCGAAAAGCGUGGGGAGCGA